GAUGAACGCUAGCGAUAGGCUUAACACAUGCAAGUCGAGGGGCAGCACAAGGUAGCUUGCUAUCUGGGUGGCGACCGGCGCACGGGUGCGUAACGCGUAUGCAACUUGCCUAUACAGGAGGAUAACCCGUCGAAAGACGGACUAAUACUGCGUAUGCUCACAACUUGGCAUCAAGUGGUGAGGAAAGAAAUUCGGUAUAGGAUAGGCAUGCGUCCCAUUAGCUUGUUGGUGAGGUAACGGCUCACCAAGGCAACGAUGGGUAGGGGAACUGAGAGGUUUAUACCCCGCGAUGGUACUGAGACACGGACCAGACUCCUACGGGAGGCAGCGGUGAGGAAUAUUAGUCAAUGGGCGCGAGCCUGAACCAGCCAAGUCGCGUGAAGGAGGACUGUCUUAUGGAUUGUAAACUUCUUUUAUACGGGAAUAACAAGAGUAACGGGUGACUCCCUGCAUGUACCGGAUGAAUAAGCAUCGGCUAACUCCGUG
rnacentral:rRNA from 1 species